CCCCUUGCACAUCUCUUCCACGAUGUUGCGAGCAUAGGCUGGGUGACAGGAAGAAACGGCAUCGAACGAGACAACGUCGUAUGAUCCAGUGUGCCAAGUACGCGGACGCUACUUCAACAGUGGCUUAUCCUUGUACGCAUUUGAUGCAAUGCCAAAGAGGGAUUUGCUCAUCAAUUCUUCUUCGGUGAAGAGUACACGUAGAAGGGCCCUUGCAAACUUCGUUGGCUGCCUGCACAGCGACUCUUGAGUUCCACGCUGGGAAUGAUGUGUGGCUUCCCAAGACUGUUUGGGAGAAGGUGUCUUCUCAUCAAGACAACGUCUUCUCAUCAAGCAAGCGGCGCUGGCCAUCUGACCAGCAUCGGUUCUGGCAAACAGGUCUCUCUGCGAUACCCUCUCGAACAAAGCCAUUGUGGAUGGGCAAGUAAAUGCAAAACCAGCACUCACUCCACAGAAAAUGGAGGCACUAUAUUGUGAGUGUCCUUUUCUGUGCUAUUUUUGAAUCGCUGCAUGAUUAUUUCUCAUAAUUUGCAUGCCAUCUCAGAAACUGCUAUCAGUUUCUGACUGAAUCUGGUUACGGAAGUCAAAAGUUGAGAUGGUGUCGUGGAAGUUACACAAUUGCUCUCUUCAACAAAAUGUGAGCCUCUUAAAGGGGCCGUAAACAGGCCACCAAACAUUUCUGAAAUAAUGAUACCCCAUGAAAGAACGCAGCUCAUAAUACCCAAAUAUACAUUUCGUUCGGCUCGUGCCAGCUCAUUGACCCGUACA